UAGAACGCAUUCGGAAUCAGGCCGAAAGGCCUGCGCCAGCGAGUGGCCGCUUGCGAGGUGCUGCAUGGUUGUCGUCAGCUCGUGCCGUGAGGUGUCGGGUUAAGUCCCAUAACGAGCGCAACCCCUACUGCUAGUUGCCAGCGGGUCAGUGCCGGGGACUCUAGCGGAACUGCCAGCGUAAGCUGCGAGGAAGGUGGGGAUGACGUCAAAUCAGCACGGCCCUUACGUCCAGGGCUACACACGUGUUACAAUGGCCGGUACAGAGGGCAGCCACCCCGCGAGGGGGCGCGAAUCCCGAAAGCCGGUCCCAGUUCGGAUCGGAGUCUGCAACCCGACUCCGUGAAGCUGGAUUCGCUAGUAAUCGCGCAUCAGCCACGGCGCGGUGAAUACGUUCCCGGGCCUU
rnacentral:rRNA from 1 species